GACGAACGCUGGCGGCGUGCCUAAUACAUGCAAGUUGAGCGCUGAAGGUUGGUACUUGUACCGACUGGAUGAGCAGCGAACGGGUGAGUAACGCGUGGGGAAUCUGCCUUUGAGCGGGGGACAACAUUUGGAAACGAAUGCUAAUACCGCAUAAAAACUUUAAACACAAGUUUUAAGUUUGAAAGAUGCAAUUGCAUCACUCAAAGAUGAUCCCGCGUUGUAUUAGCUAGUUGGUGAGGUAAAGGCUCACCAAGGCGAUGAUACAUAGCCGACCUGAGAGGGUGAUCGGCCACAUUGGGACUGAGACACGGCCCAAACUCCUACGGGAGGCAGCAGUAGGGAAUCUUCGGCAAUGGACGAAAGUCUGACCGAGCAACGCCGCGUGAGUGAAGAAGGUUUUCGGACCGUAAAACUCUGUUGGUAGAGAAGAACGUUGGUGAGAGCGGAAAGCUCAUCAAGUGACGGUAACUACCCAGAAAGGGACGGCUAACUACGUG
rnacentral:rRNA from 1 species